CCUACGGGGGGCAGCAGUGAGGAAUAUUGGUCAAUGGACGAGAGUCUGAACCAGCCAAGUAGCGUGAAGGAUGACUGCCCUAUGGGUUGUAAACUUCUUUUAUAAAGGAAUAAAACGAGGCACGUGUGCCUUUUUGCAUGUACUUUAUGAAUAAGGAUCGGCUAACUCCGUGCCAGCAGCCGCGGUAAUACGGAGGAUCCGAGCGUUAUCCGGAUUUAUUGGGUUUAAAGGGAGCGUAGAUGGGUUGUUAAGUCAGUUGUGAAAGUUUGCGGCUCAACCGUAAAAUUGCAAUUGAUACUGGCAGUCUUGAGUACAGUUGAGGUAGGCGGAAUUCGUGGUGUAGCGGUGGAAUGCUUAGAUAUCACGAGGAACCCCGAUUGCGAAGGCAGCUUACUAAACUGUGACUGACAUUGAUGCUCGAAAGUGUGGGUAUCAAACAGGAUUAGAUACCCGGGUAGUC
rnacentral:rRNA from 1 species